AAUUCGAUUAACGCGAAGAACCUUACCUGGUCUUGACAUCCACGGAAGUUUUCAGAGAUGUGAAUGUGCCUUCGGGAACCGUGAGACAGGUGCUGCAUGGCUGUCGUCAGCUCGUGUUGUGAAAUGUUGGGUUAAGUCCCGCAACGAGCGCAACCCUUAUCCUUUGUUGCCAGCGGUCCGGCCGGGAACUCAAAGGAGACUGCCAGUGAUAAACUGGAGGAAGGUGGGGAUGACGUCAAGUCAUCAUGGCCCUUACGACCAGGGCUACACACGUGCUACAAUGGCGCAUACAAAGAGAAGCGACCUCGCGAGAGCAAGCGGACCUCAUAAAGUGCGUCGUAAUCCGGAUUGGAGUCUGCAACUCGACUCCAUGAAGUCGGAAUCGCUAGUAAUCGU
rnacentral:rRNA from 1 species